UACGGGGGGGGCAAGCGUUGUUCGGAAUUACUGGGCGUAAAGGGUUCGUAGGUGGCCAACUAAGUCAGACGUGAAAUCCCUCAGCUUAACUGGGGAACUGCGUCUGAGACUGGAUGGCUUGAGUGCAGGAGAGGAACGCGGAAUUCCAGGUGUAGCAGUGAAAUGCGUAGAUAUCUGGAGGAACACCGGUGGCGAAGGCGGCGUUCUGGACUGCUACUGACACUGAGGAACGAAAGCCAGGGGAGCAAACAGG
rnacentral:rRNA from 1 species